rnacentral:rRNA from 1 species
AAUGAACGCUGGCGGCAGGCCUAGCACAUGCCAGUCGAGCGAGCAUUUCGGUGCUAGCGGCGGACGGGUGAGUAACGCGUGGGAACGUGCCCUUUUCUGCGGAAUAGUCCUGGGAAACUGGGGGUAAUACCGCAUACGCCCUUUUGGGGAAAGAUUUAUCGGAGAAGGAUCGGCCCGCGUUGGAUUAGGUAGUUGGUGGGGUAAUGGCCCACCAAGCCGACGAUCCAUAGCUGGUUUGAGAGGAUGAUCAGCCACACUGGGACUGAGACACGGCCCAGACUCCUACGGGAGGCAGCAGUGGGGAAUCUUAGACAAUGGGGGCAACCCUGAUCUAGCCAUGCCGCGUGAGUGAUGAAGGCCUUAGGGUUGUAAAGCUCUUUCAGCUGGGAAGAUAAUGACGGUACCAGCAGAAGAAGCCCCGGCUAACUCCGU